CCUACGGGGGACAGCAGUGAGGAAUAUUGGUCAAUGGACGAGAGUCUGAACCAGCCAAGUAGCGUGAAGGAUGACUGCCCUAUGGGUUGUAAACUUCUUUUAUAUGGGAAUAAAAUGUUCCACGUGUGGGAUUUUGUAUGUACCAUAUGAAUAAGGAUCGGCUAACUCCGUGCCAGCAGCCGCGGUAAUACGGAGGAUCCGAGCGUUAUCCGGAUUUAUUGGGUUUAAAGGGAGCGUAGGUGGAUUGUUAAGUCAGUGGUGAAAGUUUGCGGCUCAACCGUAAAAUUGCAGUUGAAACUGGCAGUCUUGAGUUCAGUAGAGGUGGGCGGAAUUCGUGGUGUAGCGGUGAAAUGCUUAGAUAUCACGAAGAACUCCGAUUGCGAAGGCAGUUCACUGGACUGCAACUGACACUGAGGCUCGAAAGUGUGGGUAUCAAACAGGAUUAGAUACCCUUGUAGUC
rnacentral:rRNA from 1 species